AAAGCAGGUUACAAGUAUAGCUCUUCACUUUGUGGAAUUAUUGUUACUUACUUCCCUGCUACAGAGCGGCCAUGUUGAUGGCCUCUGAUUUUACCUUUCUGAGAGUAAAAAUAACAGCUUAACAGAGACAGUC